rnacentral:rRNA from 1 species
UGGGGAAUUUUGCACAAUGGGGGAAACCCUGAUGCAGCGACGCCGCGUGAUUUAGAAGGCCUUCGGGUUGUAAAAAUCUUUUGUAUGGGAAGAAAAUGACAGUACCAUACGAAUAAGGACCGGCUAAUUACGUGCCAGCAGCCGCGGUAAUACGUAAGGUCCGAGCGUUGUCCGGAAUCAUUGGGCGUAAAGGGUACGUAGGCGGAUAAGCAAGUUAGAAGUGAAAUCCUAUAGCUCAACUAUAGUAAGCUUUUAAAACUGCUCAUCUUGAGGUAUGGAAGGGAAAGGGGAAUUCCUAGUGUAGCGGUGGAAUGCGUAGAUAUUAGGAGGAAUACCGGUGGCGAAGGCGACUUUCUGGCCAUAUACUGACGCUGAGGUACGAAAGCGUGGGUAGCAAACAGG